rnacentral:rRNA from 1 species
AACGAACGCUGGCGGCAUGCUUAACACAUGCAAGUCGAACGAGAACUUCGGGUUUAGUGGCGCUCGGGUGCGUAACGCGUGGGAACCUGCCGUUUGGCUCGGAAUUAACUCUGGAAAGAGGUGCUGAUACUGGGUCAAGUACUCGGUACAACGGCGUGUCGCCUUUGGGUGGGCGGGAGUUGGAUUAGGUAGUUGGUAGGGUAAAAGCUUACCAAGGUGACGAUGCAUAGCUGGUCGGCUAGGAUGAUCAGCCAGACUGGGACUGAGACACGGCCCAGACCCCGACGCAGGGGAGCGGAAGAGAGUACUGUGCGAUGGGCGAUGGCCUGACCCAGCAAUGCCGCGGGAGUCAUGAAGCCCUUAGGGUUGUGAAGCUGUUUGACCCGAGGUGAGAAUGACAGUACCGGGUAAAGAAGCACCGGCUAACUCCGUG